rnacentral:lncRNA from 1 species
UUUCUUUUGAAAGAGGAACACCAUUUCAAUAUCAUUAAUGUAUUUUAUAUCCAAAUCUAUUGUUCUUGUGCACUAUAUGCUCAAAUGGUGAACUUAAUUUUCCUUUUCCAAACUUGUCAAAUUUCUGCCUCACCUAACAGUAAUUGACAGUCAUCCAUUGCCUUGAGCAGAACCUGGUCUGGGUUCGAGCCCUAGCAUCUCUCAAUUCAGAUUCUACAACAUCUCUAUUUGCCAUACUUGAUUUUGUUCAUUAUACAUAUUAACAUGUUAAAACCCAUGUAUUCAAGUGUGGCAUGUAAGGGCUCUGGUUUUUACUUCAUAUUACCACCGCCAAUGUAAGUACGUGUGAACACAUAUUUUAUAUAAUCCAAUGUCAUCAGCCUUCAAAUAAGUUUCAUUUUUCGUUGAAGUACCACAUAACCGAAUUUCAACAUUAUUUCUUACACUACAUCACCCACGUUGCACGUGCAUUCACUAGUAGUAAAUAGAUUCAAGGAAAUGGGUAUUUGUUAAAAUUUAAAAUUUUGAUGUACGAGUCUUUGAUUUUGUUAUUUGAUCCUGACUUGUUUGUUGCUAAAAUCUCGAAAACUUGAUAUCUUGCUUCUAUACAUAUAAAGAUUGAAUUUCUCUUACAAGAAUUAUGUUCUAUCUAUGCAUAAUCGAAAUAUUGCAAAUUUUGGUAAUUAAUUAAUCAAUCUUAUUGAAUAUCAUGUUAUUUGUUUCCUAUUAUACGAGAGUCCGGAAAAGUACCGUUUUAUUACAAGUGUUCUCCUUUUCUUUGGUGUAAAUAACUUGAUAAAUAUUGCGUGUUUACUUGUUCAUGCGAUUUAAUUGGUUCUUAUAUUUUCCUUUGGAAUGUGUGAUAAUGUUUCUUUGAAGAGGAUUGAAGGGUCGAACUUUUGAUAAUUCUUUAUAAUGAAGAAUCACGAGUAUUGGCUAAUCUUGCCUUAGCAAG